ACGUAGGCAGCAAACGUUGUUCGGAAUUACUGGGCGUAAAGAGUGUGUAGGCGGCUCUGCAAGUUUGGUGUGAAAUCUCCCGGCUUAACUGGGAGGGUGCAUCGAAAACUGCAGGGCUCGAGUACUGGAGAGGAAAGCGGAAUUCCUGGUGUAGCGGUGAAAUGCGUAGAUAUCAGGAGGAACACCGGCGGUGUAGACGGCUUUCUGGACAGUCACUGACGCUGAGACACGAAAGCGUGGGGAGCAAACAGGA
rnacentral:rRNA from 1 species